rnacentral:lncRNA from 1 species
CAAACAUCUCUGCAAGUCAAAAGUUGCGACUGUUAUGAUUGUCUUUGAGUGUACUCCGUUAGCACGUUGACGUUGUUAGUGACUUGAUGAGGAAACAAAUAUUUUUGUGUUGCUUGAAGAGCUGUGUUGUAGGUGUUUUAGGAGAUGCUACAUGAUAAGUAUGAAUACCGCCGCCAUAAAGAGUUCCGACGCAGCAAACAUCUCGCAUGUUUGAUUCGGUGUUGCAGUAAGACCACACCCUUGUUUAAUGGAUGCUGGUAUUGCAUUGAUGUUCGUGCGGAGAUGGAAAUCUAAAUAAGAGAGAUUAGUUUCCUACUGAUGUUGAAGGAUGUAGUUCAUGGUUUCCCAAAGCUUUCCCAUAACAGCUAAUUUAUUAUAGUUACAAUCAGCGUGGUCUUCAAUCCAGUGAGUACUGCUGAACGAGAGGGAAGCUUAAAUCAGAUGGAUUUGUUUCACGCUGAUGCUAAAGGCAGAAGUUCCUUGUUUCCAGAUGAUCGUCCCAAUGAGCUAAAAUAUUAAUACUUGGAACCAUCAAUAAGAUGUCUGUACAUUUUGGUGUUCAUAGAUUAAAAAGAGUAUUUCCUUAUAAA